rnacentral:rRNA from 1 species
GAUGAACGCUGGCGGCGUGCCUAAUACAUGCAAGUCGAGCGAACAGAUGAGGAGCUUGCUCCUCUGACGUUAGCGGCGGACGGGUGAGUAACACGUGGAUAACCUACCUAUAAGACUGGGAUCACUUCGGGAAACCGGUGCUAAUACCGGAUAAUAUAUUGAACCGCAUGGUUCAAUAGUGAAAGACGGUUUUGCUGUCACUUAUAGAUGGAUCCGCGCCGCAUUAGCUAGUUGGUAAGGUAACGGCUUACCAAGGCAACGAUGCGUAGCCGACCUGAGAGGGUGAUCGGCCACACUGGAACUGAGACACGGUCCAGACUCCUACGGGAGGCAGCAGUAGGGAAUCUUCCGCAAUGGGCGAAAGCCUGACGGAGCAACGCCGCGUGAGUGAUGAAGGUCUUCGGAUCGUAAAACUCUGUUAUUAGGGAAGAACAAAUGUGUAAGUAACUAUGCACGUCUUGACGGUACCUAAUCAGAAAGCCACGGCUAACUACGUG